UACAGAGGUCUCAAGCGUUGUUCGGAUUCAUUGGGCGUAAAGGGUGCGUAGGUGGCGCUGUAAGUCGGGUGUGAAAUUUCGGAGCUUAACUCCGAAACUGCAUUCGAUACUGCGGUGCUUGAGGACUGGAGAGGAGACUGGAAUUCAUGGUGUAGCGGUGAAAUGCGCAGAUAUCGGGAGGAACACCAGUAGCGAAGGCGGCACUCUGGGCCGGUACUGACGCUGAGGAGCGAAAAGCGUGGGGAGCGAACAGG
rnacentral:rRNA from 1 species